GACGAACCGUGCGAACGUUAUUCGGAAUCACUGGGCUUAAAGCGCGUGUAGGCGGAUGGGAACGUCGGUAGUUGAAAGCCCCCGGCUCAACCGGGGAGGGCGGCUGCGAACUGGGCUUCUUGAGGGCGAUAGAGGGGGGUGGAAUUCCUGGUGUAGCGGUGAAAUGCGUAGAGAUCAGGAGGAACACCCGUGGCGAAGGCGGCCCCCUGGGUCGGCCCUGACGCUGAGGCGCGAAAGCGUGGGGAGCGAACGGG
rnacentral:rRNA from 1 species